GACCCCGCACAAGCGGUGGAUCAUGUUGUUUAAUUCGAGGAUACGCGAAGAACCUUACCAGGUCUUGACAUACCAUGCAAAGCUAUAGAGAUAUAGUGGAGGUUAACAUGGAUACAGGUGGUGCAUGGUUGUCGUCAGCUCGUGUCGUGAGAUGUUGGGUUAAGUCCCGCAACGAGCGCAACCCUUAUUGCUAGUUGCCAUCAUUAAGUUGGGGACUCUAGCGAGACUGCCAGUGACAAACUGGAGGAAGGUGGGGAUGACGUCAAAUCAUCAUGCCCCUUAUGACCUGGGCUACAAACGUGAUACAAUGGCUGUAACAAAGAGCAGCAAGAGCGCGAGCUUAAGCAAAACUCAGAAAAGCAGUCCCAGUUCGGAUUAGAGUCUGCAACUCGACUCUAUGAAGUCGGAAUCGCUAGUAAUCGUAGAUCAGAAUGCUACGGUGAAUACGUUCUCGGGGUUU
rnacentral:rRNA from 1 species